rnacentral:rRNA from 1 species
UACGUAGGGUGCGAGCGUUGUCCGGAAUUAUUGGGCGUAAAGAGCUUGUAGGCGGUUUGUCGCGUCUGCUGUGAAAAUCCGGGGCUCAACCCCGGACUUGCAGUGGGUACGGGCAGACUAGAGUGUGGUAGGGGAGACUGGAAUUCCUGGUGUAGCGGUGAAAUGCGCAGAUAUCAGGGGGAACACCGAUGGCGAAGGCAGGUCUCUGGGCCACUACUGACGCUGAGGAGCGAAAGCGUGGGGAGCGAACAGG